ACCACUCACAUCUCACAACCAAGGCUUCUGCAAAUCUCACACCCUCACCUCAGGGCCGACCUCGACUAACUCGAUCACCUCACCGCAUCUCCGGCGAGGACACGGCCUCGAUCACCGUCACCGCCCCACGCCCUCAUCCGCCGUCUCCACCACCACAGUGUCGCUGCCGCUGCUUCGAUCCACCGCUCCAGCCGCUGCUUCGUCCAUCAGAUGGAGGAAGCCUCAGGGGGUGGGUGAAAGCAACUUCCAAGAAUCACUUCGCACAUGUAGAUGUAUCUUGCUGAACAGAAUUAUACAGCAACAGAUUUUUCUGCUCAAUAGAUUUGUUCGCUUUGUGAGCACUCCGGAGAUCUUGGAACGGUUGCACACUAUAGAAUCUGAGAUUAUACAGAUUGAAGAAGCAAUCACCAUACAGGGUAACAAAUCAACAACAUGUGUUAAUGAGGAGAAAGCUAUUGGCUUUAACAAAUCAACUCUCAGAUGCAUCCUUCUUAAAUCAACUCAAGUGGACGUGGUGUACGCCAAUUUAAAACUGCACUUCUGCAUCGGCUUGAAAGGGCCAGUAAGGAUCAACUUCCUCAAUCAGACAUAAUCAGGCCAAUAAGGAUCAUAUUUAGUAAUUUGAUUAAUUAAAUUAUUUUGUAGGUAUUUGAAGGAAAUUCGUACUCUACCAAUGAAAUAGAUGGGAUUCGAGACUUAUGAGCAAAAUAUUUUUUGGAAGAGUAUGUGUAAUUUUUGUUUUAGAUUAUAUGUUAUAUUGGAUUGAUAUAAAGUAUUGUAUUGAUAGUAUUUGGUUGAGUGUUGAUAAUAUUGUUUUU